rnacentral:rRNA from 1 species
CCUACGGGUGGCUGCAGUAAGGAAUAUUGGUCAAUGGGGGCAACCCUGAACCAGCCAUGCCGCGUGCAGGACGACUGCCCUAUGGGUUGUAAACUGCUUUUGUACGGGAAUAAACGCGGGUAUGUAUACCCGCCUGAAUGUACCGUAAGAAUAAGGAUCGGCUAACUCCGUGCCAGCAGCCGCGGUAAUACGGAGGAUCCGAGCGUUAUCCGGAUUUAUUGGGUUUAAAGGGAGCGUAGGCGGCCUUAUAAGUCAGGGGUGAAAGACGGUGGCUC